rnacentral:lncRNA from 1 species
CUAAAAAUUGUAGCAAAACAAGGCUGAAGAAUAAGGUCUCUCUUUGUUUUUUUAUCUCACUGCUGGAGGCACCUUCCUUUCAGCUCUUGUGCAGCUCCAGCAGAAAGUGGAAUACCGGCACUCUGGGGGAACUGGAUUGUGCUGUAUUAUAGUGCCAGAAUAGCAGAGCGAUGCCACUCUGGAUUUCCUGAAAUGAGACCCUGCAGUCAUUGGCCUUCCUCACAAACUCUGUCCCAGCUCAAGCUUCAAAUGGGUCAAGGCUUCUGCUCUCUACCCUUCUCAGAAGCCUUUUCCAGGCCUGCAGAGGAUGGAGGGAGACACCUGCAAUGCCUCAGACAGGGUGUUCAAGCUCCUGCUCAAGAAACUGGUGAGUAAAGAACUCAU